UGAGACCAAUGUGUCUACGGUGUACUCACUU
rnacentral:piRNA from 1 species